rnacentral:rRNA from 1 species
UAGAUACCCUGGUAGUCCACGCUGUAAACGGUGUCGAUUUGGGGAUUGGGGUUUAGCCCUGGUGCCCGAAGCUAACGUGAUAAAUCGACCGCCUGGGGAGUACGGCCGCAAGGUUAAAACUCAAAUGAAUUGACGGGGGCCCGCACAAGCGGUGGAGCAUGUGGUUUAAUUCGAUGCAACGCGAAGAACCUUACCUACUCUUGACAUCCGAAGAAGAACUCAGAGAUGGGUUUGUGCCUUAGGGAGCUUU